rnacentral:tRNA from 1 species
CUUAAGGUGACAGAAUUAAUGUGCUAGAUUUAAAAUCUAUUGAUGGGCCCUCCUCUUAAGA